AUGCAUCCAAUGGUUGUUGUCAAAAUGAUUCUAUCGAAAUAAACGCAUGCGAAAAACUGAUUAUCCAUCUUCAAUGCUCAAUCUGUUAAAAAAUAAACAAAAUUUCUCAAAAUAAUUUCGAACAGCAAAUAAAUUACUUAAAUAAAAAAUUUAAUUAAUCAAUAUGCAAUUUUUUUCAUUCAUAAGCUCAUACUUUUUCAGUUCUCAUUUUGUACAUGAACAACAUUUAUCUUUACAUUUAACCAUUUGAAUUCAGUUCUACGUUUUCUU
rnacentral:lncRNA from 1 species